ACUGCAACAAGGGUUGACACAACAUCUUUUAAAAUGAAACAAAGAGACAAACAGGUCUAAGAUCUACCAAAACCAAAGAUUUCUUCUUUUUUUUUUUUUUGNNNNNNNNNNNNNNNNUGGGGUUUUUUCAUGUGUUUCUCUCAGCCAGCAGGUGCCUCUAUAGAGCCAAUGCUUUGCCUGUAUGAGUCUGUGGCACAGCAUUGGAAUACCUGCUUUUAAAUGACAAUACAGCAUUUUCUUUCUUCAGUGUCUUUUCCCCCUACCCCUUCCACCAGUCCAUGGUGAGCCCUGGGAUCUGCCAGCCUGGGAUCUUCCACUCCAUCUGCCACAUAAGGUCCUUGGAGGAUGAAGGCAGGAGAAAGAUGUAUGCCGUCGCUCGCAUAUUGUUACUAUGUAUGCAGUAUGAACAAAUUUUCAGUGUGACGGGAACCAGGUAGCUCAUUUGGGGAAUGCCCGCAUCAAACUCAGUGAGACAAAGCUGUCGCUUUGCACUUUCAAUACCUUCUCAGAAAGCAGGGUGGGGUUUGUCUGGCAAAACCCUCACCCCUUCCACAUGACACCCUUCUGCACACCCGGGCAUCACUCAGCCAGUACAGGCAGGCCCCUGAGCCACCGGAGAAUAGCACUGGGUUAAGAAAAAUAAAACCCACCUGAGGAUAACGCUCCUUUAGCCCUUUAACACAUAGGUGCUAAGAAAUCACUGUAUCUGAAAAGCCAAGUCCUGUGGGGGGUGGUCAGAUGAUGGCUGUGAUUACAAUUUGUCCCCCGCCGCCCCUCUCCCCAAAUGUCUCUGCUGGACUUUGGAACAAUUCCCACGGGCAAAGUGAAUUUUGACCCGAACAUGUAUCCAUCGGCACGGCAGAAAGCGCGGCGAGAAAACUGGGAAGGGAGCUGGGUUUGAAAUGCACGAGCCGCGGGGCUACGGCUCCAGCGUACGGAACCGCGGGGCUACAGGCUCCGCGGCCAGCUUGGAGGGCGGGGAGAAGGCCGGGCCAUCGCCGAGGAGGUGGGACUUGCCGGAGCGUCUCUCCCCGUGGCCGCUGUGAUCAGUUGCAGAGUGCUGACGAGCGGCGGGCGGUGGGGCGGGCGCUGCGCGGGGAGCGGGCGCUACGCGGAGGCGCCGCUGGAGUGCGCGGAGCGGGGCUGCCGCCGCGCCGGGGGCGAGGAGCGCACGCCGUGCCGGCGGGGGACAGCGCGCCGCGGGAGCAGCCCUCCCCGGGCACCGGGACCUGCUCGGUGGACAGAGAGAGGAAAAGACAGUAACAGAGAAGACA
rnacentral:lncRNA from 1 species